rnacentral:rRNA from 1 species
UACGUAGGGGGCAAGCGUUGUCCGGAUUUAUUGGGCGUAAAGGGCGCGUAGGCGGUCAGCACAAGUCAGUUGUGAAAUCUCCGGGCUUAACUCGGAAAGGUCAACUGAUACUGUGCGACUAGAGUGCGGAAGGGGCAACUGGAAUUCUCGGUGUAGCGGUGAAAUGCGUAGAUAUCGAGAGGAACACCUGCGGCGAAGGCGGGUUGCUGGGCCGACACUGACGCUGAUGCGCGAAAGCCAGGGGAGCGAACGGG